UUUUUCCAGGUGGCUUUCCUCGCUCUUGGCUUCCCUGGUCCUGGCUCCCCACUCCCACCCCACCCAAAGUCACCCAGAAGUUGGGUGCAUCCUGAACUUCGUCCCUGGAAGCCUGCUUUCCAGGGACCCACUUUGCCUCCCUGGAGGUGGCCAGUGCUCUCAGUUCCCUGUACGUUCCUCCAGUGAUGUUUUGUGCACCUACAGCUUCCAGAAAAGUCCCUCCAACCAGCCUGAGGAACUGUCAGGGGCAGGGACCCCCUCAGCCUCCCCCAGACUCCAAGCAUCCUUGGGAGCUCCUGGAAGGCAGUACGUGUGUCUCAUCCAUCUCUGCACUCCCAGCACCCAACAUCAUGCUGAGUAAAUUGAUGGUUUUUGAAUAAAUGAGAAAAAGAGGCCCAGAUCCUGAAGCUGAACCAUCCUAGGGUCUCCUUCCUGCCAUUCCAGGGACCAGAGUCCUCCGGCCCCGCUCCCCCUGUCCCCACCUUCUUCUGGGAGAAACAGUCCCAGCUUGCCUGGUGUUUGGGGGACUUUUCAGGCUGUCCCGUCUCCAGGAUGAGAACACGUGACCACGCCUCGCUGUCAGCAAGAGGGAGGAAGGCGUGAGGGACCCUCGAGCAAGAAAUGGAGCGUCCAGACUGAUGCGGAGGAAAAUGGAAACUCCAGCUGACCUAAGAGAUUUCUAUAAUGAGAGAAAACCAAUUUAUAUGCAAAUAGCCCACAGCUAGUUGGGAGCAGGCUCUGUGCUGCUGAGGAAGGCUGGGAAAACAAACAGCGUCCCCAUCACGAGGCAGGCUCACCGCUGGACAGGAGGGUUCUUUAUCCACUCAGGAUUAAAGUCUAAACUAGUGACAAAAGUCACAUGCGUUGCUGGCAGCAUUUCCUGGUGCUUCAUGGUGCCGGCUGAGAAAUGGGUGCCCCUCAGGGGGCCAGCCAUCCACCACUACCAUUUACCGAGCCCCUGGCAGGUGUCAAUUGCCAGGCAAGGCACAGAGGACAAAAGAUGUCCCAAAGAUGGUCACUGCCUCUGCCCACAGAGGGGCUCACAGCCUGGGGACCAUUAGAUUCUAAAGUCAACCCCGGGGCCAUAAUAAGAACUAACAUUUUAUGGAGCAUUUACUAUGUGCUAAGCCCAGGGCUAACGACUUUAUAUGACAGUAGCUCAUCAAAUUCUCACAGUGACCCUGUGAGGUAGGGCCUAUUAUUCCCAUUUUACAGAUAAGCAAACUGAGGUUCUAAGACCCAGCCAGAAUGGCUCCAGGGCGCUGGCUCAUACUCCCCCUGAUGUGCUAGGAAGAGACACUGGGAGCAUUUCCCAAAGAGUUCUUUGCAGAGCAGAUGGGCCCAAAGGCAGGAGGCUCUGGAACAGAGGCUUGGCCUGGGGCAGCAAAAAUAACCCUGUUCAAUAAAACAAGAGGUGUGGGUUGUUCUGCCACAAACUGGCUGUGUGACCCUGGGGGUCACUUUCCCUCUCUGGGCCUCAUUUGCUUGUAUAAAAUGAAGGGGGGUAGCCUAAAUUAUUUUAGGCUGUAAAAUUAUAUUAUUGUAGAACUCCAGCGACCCUCCAGAAUAGCCAUCGUUGAGGUGAUAAGACACGCCCUGCUCCCUCCUUUGUGCCCCACCCCCCGCCCUCUGCCCCGGCUGGCCCGUAUCUGUUGCUGUGGAGCACUUUAAUUUCCUCCUUUGGUUUCAUAAUUCAAGGACAGCUCCGUCUGCGGCAGUAAUCCACCGUCUCUGAUAGCCUCCUCCUCCAAACAAGAGAUGGAUAAAGGCUUCAUCUGGUUUAUUUCGUGGAUGGGGCGGGAGCUGGCACAACCAGGUGGGGACAGCUUUUGGCCUUGCAAACUGCAUUAAUCCCCUAAUCUUCUGGGAGGGCCCCAGAGCCCAGUCUGUCAUCGUCACCGCCUAGCCCAGCCAAGUCGUCCCGAUGAUGAUGAUGAGAGAUGACAUUUACCGAGGCUCUUCUGAGGCAGGCACGUUCUUCAGCGUUUUGAGGGUUAAUGUAUUUCAUCCCCACCACGUCUCUGCGGGGAAGGGGCUCAAAAUCCUAGCUCCACUUAACAGAUGCAGAAACUGAGGCCCAGCAGGCUUCAGAAAUUUGCCAAAGCCUGAAUUUGAACUGGCUGGGGAAAUAAACAAACCCACCCAACGACGGCCAGCCCAGGAGGAGCUGGGCUUCGCGGCCGAGCCUCCUGACCUCCCGUAUUUGAGGAGUUGAGGCCACUCUCCUUUGUUAAACAUUCAUUCAACACAUUUUUAUUGAGCUGCGCACGGUGUGCCAGGUGCUGCCUGGCCACCAGCUGGGGACAAGGCCCAUGGGGACCCACUCUCAGAGGGCUGACCUUCUCAUACAGGAGAUGGGCCCGUGACCAGCAACUGAAUACCCAGACACAAGCACUCUAGGUGGCAAUCAGAUGCCACAAAGAAAAUAACAAUAGAGGGUGCGAGAGAAAGAAAUGGGGGGAUGGUCAGAGACAGUCUCCUGGCGUGGAGGACCUUUGAGCAGAGAUGUGGGCGUUCAGUCACUCCACUGGACUUCUCGGCCUCGGCACUAGAGACGUUUGGGGCCUGAUAAUUCUUUGUUGUGAGGUUCCGUCUGGUGCAUUGGUCCCCGGAGGACCAAAUUGCCUUGGAUUAAGAACUGCUGAGCGGGGAGGGUAGAGCUCAGUGGUCGAGUGUCUGCUUAGCAUGCACAAGGUCCUGGGUUCAAUCCCCAGGACCCCUCAUUAAAAUAAAUAUAUAAAUAAACCUAAUUAUCUCCCCCUAUGAAAAAAAAACCUAAAUAAAUAAAAUAACUUAAAAAAAAAAAGAACUGCUGAGCCACGCGGUCAGCAAAGCAGGCAAAUGGCUGGAAGGGACAGCAAGGCGGGCUGAGGGUGUGAGAAGCAGGAAGAAGACAGGUCUGGCUAGAGGGCUGGAUCAUCAUGGCCAUGUGCUCCUUAGAACUCUCUCAAAAGUCCUCGGCAGCACUUUUAGAGUUUCUUCUCUGUGCCAGGAAUUGCACCAGCUGUGCCCAAGGACACGCUCCAAGGUGAUCGCAGACAGGGUAGUGGAUAAGACGCGUGUGCCCAGGGAGGCAGCUGUCAGCAUGGGCUGUCCAUGAUAAUAGAAUAUUCUGGCCAGCAGAGAGCUCUUUGGAAGGCAGUGACCAGUGUGCAGGAAGCCCGUGGAAAGGCAGCAUCUGGGCCGCUUCUUAAAGAGGAGCGAGCCGGUGGCUGAGGUCCUCACCUUCCCAGCAUCCUGGCCGUUUCGUUUCCACUGGCAACCACCCCACCCCUGGACCCUGGCGCAAACUGUUUCGGUGAAUUUCUAAUCACAGUGCCCCCCUAGUCUAGCCAAGGGGCUGGCAUGAGACCUAGGCUUGGCUAUCAGAUUCUUUCUUCCUGGAAUUAGAACUUGGGGCAGAGAAACCCAAGGGCAGAGAAUGGCUAGAGUCAAUUUUUCUAAUGGAAAUGGAACAAGGCAUGUUCUUUGGUUCUGGCAUAUUUUUUAUCAUCUCAACUCCCUGAGAAGUAAUCACUUCUGUCUCUUCCAAGGCCUAGUUUUUCAGCUUUUCCUUGUAAUGCCCUUUCGAUAGAUGGAUAUCUGUUUAAUUUACCAGAGUGGGUUUCUGAUGCUUGAAACCUCCGUUAAAAUAGAAACAGUUGCAAUGUGAACAGGGAAAAGAGAGUGGAGAUUUCAGAUCCAUUGCACUGGGUACUUGAUAUUAAAUAAGCUGCGUGUCUCUCUGUCUCCCAGCUGCAACCAGGAGGUUCUGCAGGGCCGAGACCGUGCCUUUUCCUCUUUGUACCCACAGCGCUCAGCCCAGGGCUGGCUGCUGCUUUGCACUCACCAUGGUUUGUAAUUACUUUUUCCUUUGUGGGAUAAUUUGUUUAAUGUCAUCCUCUCCCACUGUGCUGGAGGUCCCACGAAGAGAGAGGAUGUAAAACCUAACCCAGCAGGGUGACCAACUGUCCCGAUUGGCCUCUGUCCCAGAGGUUUCCUGGUGUGUGAUCUUCCAGCACCCAAACCAGGAAAAUCCCCAGCAAAUCCAGGCGCUGGUCACCCUACCAGGACCUGGAAUAUACGAAGUCUUUGAGCACCAUUUGUCCCUGACACUUAAGAAAUACAUGUCAAAAUGUUCUGUAGAGGCAGCCCAGCGUAAGACAUACUCUUCCAUUCAAUUACAUUUCUUCACACCUACCGUGUGCCAGGGAAGCAGCUGGCCAGGAGCAGAGGGAUUCACGGAAGGACGUCCCAGCAGCCAGGGCUGGAAAUUGCAGAUUGGAACUCAGCUGGCGUGGGGCUUGCAUGGCAGGCUAAGGAAUCUAGAUAUAGCACAGGUGCGGCAGAUCCUGGCCGAUUUAGAAGCAGGGAGGAGACAAGAAAAAAGGAAUAAUUUAGGAGAGAAGCCUCGGCCACUCCUCCCAGGCUCUCUGAUACAGGAAACAUUUGCAGGGGCUGCUGAAGGUGGGGAGGAAACCUGAAGUCAGCAAGUCAUCUUGCCCUUUCUUCCUAGGGUCUCGGCUGGGCAGAGAGGGGCUACUUCAUUUUUCAGUCCAAGCCCAACCCUCUGCUCAGCUCAACAUGCAGAGAAUCCAGCCCUGGGAAACGUGAGUCCGUUUGUGGCUGUGCAGCGAAUCCCACAUCUUUGCUCCUCGUGGAGAUCCAGGGACCCAGUCCAUCCCAUGAGACCAUCCUCUGGGUGGAUUUCACUCCUGCUCCGUCAGCAGGCGAGAAAACAUUGCUGGACAGCCAAGCCCCCUUUGGGGGCCUGGAAAUCAUCAGAGAAAAACAUUUCUCUAAUUCAGCUCCCUCAUCUCAGAGAGACCUAAGAAUCUUCCAAAAAUGAACUAAUCAGUGAGAAGCAGAAGGUGGGCUGUUCUCCCCUUAGCUUUUAUUAAUAAAGAACUGAAUCACACCGAAGAGGGGGUCCUGGUGGGCAGGAGAAAAUUCCAGAAGGUGAACAGACACAGACAUAAAAACACUGAAGCGUGGCUAGAGAUUUUUUUUCCUCUUUAAAUUUUCUUUCAGUCUUUCUUAGUACGCCAAGAAGAUGGUCUUACUUUGGGACGAAUAGUUCUUUACCUCUCCAAAUCUCCCUUUUAAAUGGAAAUCAGACAGGCUUCAAGAGCCCAGGGUCCUCAGUGGGCCACCCUAUUCUUCUAGAAUUCACUAAUACUGCUUUAUUUUCAUGGUAUUUCUUUUUAUGAGUAGCUUCUCUUUGUGACAAGUGACAUUGGCUUACCACGUAUGGCAAUGAGUAUGUUUCCCUUUUGAACAAAUGUAUUUUGAGUUUUCAGGGGGAGACAAGUUAACAGAAAAUAAUGGAGGAAGGACUCGACCCAGUGGUAUACAGCUAUUGCACAAUUAUUGGUGGUCCUCAAGCGAUCGAAGCUUGAAAACGGGGAUGAAGGUACCACGACCCCAGACUGCUCACCCAAAAAGGCGCCGUUUGUGUCAUUCAGCAAAUGUCAAGCCUGAAAUUUAGAAAGUGGCUCCUUAAAUGCGUUAGAGACAGAGACCCUGGGAAAUGCCUGGGAAUUCAUCACGUGACCUUGAACAGACGGGAACCUCCUGAGAUGUGAGAGAGGAGAUCUAUCAUUUAGCCUGGCAAAAGACCCUCCUGGCGGAAAUUAGCGUUUGCUUCUCAUGGCAAAAGUUUGGGAGUUCCAGAAAAACACACAGGAACAAAUUAAAAAAAAUUGUUCGUGACCCCACCACCCCUUGAAGACCUCUAUUAACCGUUGAUGUAGCUCCUUCCGGUUACAAAUGUAAUAUAAACAGGCUGAACCAGUAACUUGCACAAUAUUAAAGGAACCAUUUGUGGACAGAAUGAAGAGAUAUCAUGGCAUGAUGGAGAGCUGGACCAGAGCUGGAGCAGGGAGAGAAAACCUGCGGAUGAUGGGGAUCUGCCAGUGGGAGGGGAGCAUGUGCUCAGAGAGACGCGGAAAGAAGGCGUUGGCUCCCCUGAAGCCCAGCGAACUUCCUGCAGCUCACGUCUGGAGGUUGCCCCAGGUCUUGGUGACCAGCUCCCUUUGAUGUGAACUUUGCCAAGUUAAAGUCUGUUCCAGGCAACCACACAGUUCCUGAUGAAAACCUCAGUGUGAUGAUUAUGUCCCAUUAAUACAUACGGCGGGUGUAAUUCCUACUCCAUCAG